AUUGAACGCUGGCGGCAGGCUUAACACAUGCAAGUCGAACGAGUGGCGGACGGGUGAGUAAUGCUUGGGAAACUGGCUUCUGGAUGGGGAUAACGACUGGAAACUGUCGCUAAUACCGCGUCCCAUAUGAUGUUCCCAUGUGGGAUUAGGUAGUUGGUGGGGUAAUGGCCCACCAAGCCAACGAUCCCUAGCUGGUCUGAGAGGAUGACCAGCCACACCGGGACUGAGACACGGCCCGGACUCCUACGGGAGGCAGCAGUGGGGAAUAUUGCGCAAUGGGGGCAACCUGACGCAGCCAUGCCGCGUGAAUGAAGAAGGCCUUCGGGUUGUAAAGUUCUUUCGGUGACGAGGCGUUAAUCGCAGAAGAAGCACCGGCUAACUCCGUGCCAGCCGCCGCGGUAAUUC
rnacentral:rRNA from 1 species